UGCAUGGUCAAAUCGGAUUAGCUGAUCGAGGAAACACGGUCUGCAUCACUUCCGUCGGUCCCGACGUCAGAGAAGCGUCACGACGCCUUUUUCAACCCUCGGAAAACUGUGUAUCUCUGAAUGCUGUUGGAGUUGGGGGCAGCCAUCGCCACGUAGAUGUCUUCUUUGAAGGAGAAGAUGUCCGCUGACAUGGACUGAAUGGGAAUGGACUGAUGACGCACAAAGUCUGUGAGAAGCAGACAAAAACAGACACUGCUAGUCUGCUGACAAAGUUUAAGAGUCGACAUUUAGAACCUCACCUCUUGAAUCACAUUUUUCAUGCUGUCAAAAGCAUCUGGAUGACACCGUAUGGAGUCAUGGCUGUCAUAUUUUGGGUUUAAUAUUCGAGUUUAAUACAGCAUACUUUCUAACAUACUGAGUUUAAUUUGUGCAUAUGUUAAGUCAGUGUUAUGCAAUGAUUUGAAGUGUAUUUAUGUCAGUUUAAAAUUGCUUUGUCUGUCCACAUUUGCAUUAAUAAUCGUCUACCCAGGACAUUUUUAAAAAAGCACAGAAAUGAAACUAAUGUGAUUAUUGUGUGAGCAUGUUAGCAUGCUGACGUUAACAUAUAUAUUUAGGUUUAGCUCAAAGCACCGGUGUGCGUAAAUACAGCUUCACAGAGCCACUGUUGAGCUGUAGACUCCUCUUGUUUCUUAGUCUUGAUGUUUGUGGGUGUGUGUGUGUGUGUGUGUGUAUGUGUGGGUAUACAUAAUGUGCGUGUACACAUGAUGCAAACAUGUUAGCAGGCAGGGAAUCUGUUUGUUUUUGAGUGCAGCAUAGUGCAUGGUAGUGUCCUGUUGAACGGUUUUAUUGAUUGCUUUCCUUCUUUCUUUCUGUCUUUCUUUUUUAAUGUGACAUUUUUAGCUGCGCUUGUUAGUAUUCAUAAUUUCUUUUGAUAGUGUACUUAUCAUUUUACCUGUAGAGAUGCACUCGCCCGGUGGAAUAGGAAGGUCAUUGAGCCGCUUGCCCUUCAUGUCACUGGGGCCUGCGCAGAAGACAUCUGAUACUGUGGCAUUUGUGUUUUUCAGCCACAUCAUCAGCCACUUGUUCUCACAAUUGCACUGGAAAGAGUUGCCUCUCAGAUCCCUAAUGUAUGACAGAGGGAAACAUCAGUAUCUGCAAAAUCAGCUUGGAGACAUUUACUGAACAAUAAAAUAUGUAAUAUGUUUUAUAUU